UACGUAGGGUGCAAGCGUUGUCCGGAAUUAUUGGGCGUAAAGAGCUCGUAGGCGGUUUGUCGCGUCUGCUGUGAAAACUCGGGGCUUAACCCCGGGCCUGCAGUGGGUACGGGCAGACUAGAGUGCGGUAGGGGAGACUGGAAUUCCUGGUGUAGCGGUGAAAUGCGCAGAUAUCAGGAGGAACACCGGUGGCGAUGGCGGGUCUCUGCGCCGUAACUGACGCUGAUGCGCGAAAGCGUGGGGAGCAAACGGG
rnacentral:rRNA from 1 species